GACGAACGCUGGCGGCGUGCCUAAUACAUGCCAGUAGAACGCUGAAGGAGGAGCUUGCUCUUCUGGAUGAGUUGCGAACGGGUGAGUAACGCGUAGGUAACCUGCCUGGUAGCGGGGGAUAACUAUUGGAAACGAUAGCUAAUACCGCAUAAGAGUAGAUGUUGCAUGACAUUUGCUUAAAAGUUGCAAUUGCAUCACUACCAGAUGGACCUGCGUUGUAUUAGCUAGUUGGUGGGGUAACGGCUCACCAAGGCGACGAUACAUAGCCUACCUGAGAGGGUGAUCGGCCACAAUGGGACUGGGACACGGCCCAGACUCCUACGGGAGGGAGCAGGAGGGAAUCUUCGGCAAUGGACGGAAGUCUGACCGAGCAACGCCGCGUGAGUGAAGAAGGUUUUCGGAUCGUAAAGAUCUGUUGUAAGAGAAGAACGAGUGUGAGAGUGGAAAGUUCACACUGUGACGGUAGCUUACCAGAAAGGGACGGCUAACUACGUG
rnacentral:rRNA from 1 species